UUGAUGAUCAGGUACAGAGAUUGGUCAUUCC
rnacentral:piRNA from 1 species